rnacentral:rRNA from 1 species
UACGUAGGGGGCAAGCGUUGUCCGGAUUUAUUGGGCGUAAAGAGCGUGUAGGCGGCUUUACAGGUCCGUUGUGAAAACUCGAGGCUCAACCUCGAGACGCCGGUGGAAACCGUAAAGCUAGAGUCCGGAAGAGGAGAGUGGAAUUCCUGGUGUAGCGGUGAAAUGCGUAGAUAUCGGGAGGAACACCGGUGGCGAAGGCGGUUCUCUGGGCCUUACCUGACGCUGAGGAGCGAAAGCGUGGGGAGCGAACAGG